CCUGGUGAAAAAGAUAACUGCAGAAUAUCCCUCAACACAGGUUCUGGUGCAUUCCCCAUCUUUUCCUUGCCUGAAGAAGCCCUCUCCCCCGUCUCUAAUUUCGUGUCUCCAUGCCCUCAAGUUCCCAACAUGGUUCACUCCUAUCUGUAGACCUUUGGCCCUUCUGAUUGAAACCAGUCUCCUGGACUCUGGCUAUAAAACAGCCAACAAACACCAUUCUCCAGUCUGCAGCCCACUUGUCUUCUCAAGGCCCCAGCCUCCCCAAGCCAUGCCGAUAGCCCUCCAUCCUUGAGCUAACAUCUCAGGCUUCAGGAGUGCCAGGAACCUGAGCAUCACCCUCUCUUGCCGAGCCAGAUGGCAAUCCCAGCCAGGAAACUGCCUCCUUCUUCUGCAGCCAGGUCCUGGCUGGGCUUCCUCGAGAACGCUGAAGUCCUCCUGCUGUUGAUCCCAACUGAGAAAGUUUUCCAUGCCCCCCAAGGAUGUACCCCGACACAACGCCACCCAGCUGGAGUGAGAGUUCCCGCUUGAAAAUGCCUGGGACACACUCAAUGAUGCCCAAGCUCUUUGCUACCUCCCUGGCUACGCCUACUUCUCCAGAAUUCUGGUUCUCAAGACUCAGUUAGCCCAAGGCUCUAUUGAAGGCCCUAGAGAACAACUGGCUGGUUUAGGGGAUGAGAAAAUUUAAAAGGAAACCCAGACACUGAUCCAAAGCGACACUGAUCCUGGGCCUGGCCCCAGCAGGACCAGGAGUACCAGGCCCAAUCUUGGUCCACUCUCUUCUGCCUCGGAUCAUCAUCUGUCCCUUUGCACAUGAGCCUGGCACUCUGUAUCCACAUACGUAGGGGCCCAAGUACCAG
rnacentral:lncRNA from 1 species